GGAGGAGGACUGGCUCCUGGGCUGAAAGACCCCCAGAAGGGGGUGCGACCAGAGCAGUGGACCCUGCCGGAGGGCAGUGUCCUGAAGAGGACACCACUGAGCAGGAGCAACGCGGGUCCGGAUACCAACAGGGGAACAGACAAUGGACGGGACACCACCAGCAGAGGGCGCCCUGCAGAGGACAGAGCUAAUUCCCAGACGUGCCAGCGAGAGGUGCUGAGGUGUAACAAGCACCAGCCACUUCCGAAUGAAGUAGAGCACUGAAACGGCCCUUUACAGAAGAAAGUGGAGGAGUUUCUUCCCAAAAUGCCCCAAUGAAAGCUGUGCUAUGAGAUUAUUCACAUCUCCAAAGAUUU